UACGGAGGGUGCAAGCGUUGUCCGGAAUCACUGGGCGUAAAGGGCGCGUAGGCGGCCGAUCAAGUCAGAGGUGAAAGCCCAAGGCUCAACCUUGGAACUGCCUUUGAUACUGUUUGGCUAGAGACCGGAAGAGGUAAGUGGAACUGCGAGUGUAGAGGUGAAAUUCGUAGAUAUUCGCAAGAACACCAGUGGCGAAGGCGGCUUACUGGUCCGGUUCUGACGCUGAGGCGCGAAAGCGUGGGGAGCAAACAGG
rnacentral:rRNA from 1 species